rnacentral:tRNA from 1 species
GGAACUAUAGUCUAACAAUGAUAUAUGAUUUGCAUUCAUAAGGUGUCUUCAAACUAGUUUCA